rnacentral:RNase_P_RNA from 1 species
ACUGAAGGAAGGAUAUUCGCUCCGAUCCGUAAGUUUGGAGAGGAAAGUCCGGACACCAUAGAGCAGAAUGCCUCGCGAAAGCGAGGGUAUGCGAGGACAAACUUCGCAUAACGGCCAGUGCAACAGAAAACAUACCGCCUUCGGGUAAGGGUGAAAAGGUGCGGUAAGAGCGCACCGCCUUUGAGGUAACUCAAGGGGCAGUGUAAACCCCAUUCGGUGCAAGACAGAAUAGGAGAUAGAGUGGCUCGCUCGUCAAAAAUCUCGGGUUAGUCGCACUUCCUGUAAUGGGAAGAAGUUUUAGGAAAUUUUCUAAAACUUAGAGAAAUGAAUAUCGGGAAUGAACAUUCUCAACAGAAUCCGGCUUAUCCUUCAGGAAUU